CUACGCACUCCUACGGAGGCAGCAGUGGGGAAUAUUGCACAAUGGGCGCAAGCCUGAUGCAGCCAUGCCGCGUGUAUGAAGAAGGCCUUCGGGUUGUAAAGUACUUUCAGCAGUGAGGAAGGUGGGUAUGUUAAUAGCAUACUCAUUUGACCGUUAGCUGCAGAAGAAGCACCGGCUAACUCCGUGCCAGCAGCCGCGGUAAUACGGAGGGUGCGAGCGUUAAUCGGAAUUACUGGGCGUAAAGCGCAUGCAGGUGGUUUGUUAAGUCAGAUGUGAAAGCCCGGGGCUCAACCUCGGAAUUUGCAUUUGAAACUGGCAAACUAGAGUACUGUAGAGGGGGUAGAAUUUCAGGUGUAGCGGUGAAAUGCGUAGAGAUCUGAAGGAAUACCGGUGGCGAAGGCCGGCCCCCUGGACAGAUACUGACACUCAGAUGCGAAAGCGUGGGGAGCAAACAGGAUUAGAUACCCUGGUAG
rnacentral:rRNA from 1 species